rnacentral:rRNA from 1 species
AAAGAUGGUUUCGGCUAUCACUUCUGGAUGGGCCUGCGGCGCAUUAGCUUGUUGGUGAGGUAACGGCUCACCAAGGCUGUGAUGCGUAGCCGAGUUGAGAGACUGAUCGGCCACAAUGGAACUGAGACACGGUCCAUACUCCUACGGGAGGCAGCAGUAGGGAAUCUUCCACAAUGGGCGCAAGCCUGAUGGAGCAACACCGCGUGAGUGAAGAAGGGUUUCGGCUCGUAAAACUCUGUUGUUGAAGAAGAACGUGCGUGAGAGUAACUGUUCACGCAGUGACGGUAUUCAACCAGAAAGUCACGGCUAACUACGUGCCAGCAGCCGCGGUAAUACGUAGGUGGCAAGCGUUAUCCGGAUUUAUUGGGCGUAAAGCGAGCGCAGGCGGUUUUCUAAGUCUGAUGUGAAAGCCUUCGGCUUAACCGGAGAAGUGCAUCGGAAACUGGAUAACUUGAGUGCAAGAGAGGACAGUGGAACUCCAUGUGUAGCGGUGGAAUGCGUAGAUAUAUGGAAGAACACCAGUGGCGAAGGCGGCUGUCUAGCUUGCAACUGACGCUGAGGCUCGAAAGCAUGGGUAGCGAACAGGAUUAGAUACCCUGGUAGUCCAUGCCGUAAACGAUGAGUGCUAGGUGUUGGAGGGUUUCCGCCCUUCAGUGCCGGAGCUAACGCAUUAAGCACUCCGCCUGGGGAGUACGACCGCAAGGUUGAAACUCAAAGGAAUUGACGGGGGCCCGCACAAGCGGUGGAGCAUGUGGUUUAAUUCGAAGCUACGCGAAGAACCUUACCAGGUCUUGACAUCUUGCGCUAACCUCAGAGAUGAGGCGUUCCCUUCGGGGACGCAAUGACAGGUGGUGCAUGGUCGUCGUCAGCUCGUGUCGUGAGAUGUUGGGUUAAGUCCCGCAACGAGCGCAACCCUUGUUACUAGUUGCCAGCAUUCAGUUGGGCACUCUAGUGAGACUGCCGGUGACAAACCGGAGGAAGGUGGGGACGACGUCAGAUCAUCAUGCCCCUUAUGACCUGGGCUACACACGUGCUACAAUGGACG